AGAGAAGAGCAAACAGAAAUGAUGCUAAAGUGAAUGUGCUUCAUGCUUUCCACGCGCAGAAGAAUACAGUGUCCUUGCUUUCAAGGUAGAAAAACAAGUGAAGAAGUGCAACGUGAGCAAAGCGUGAAGUGGCUCCUCUCCAUGUAGCGAAAGGCAGCAGAGGCACCUGAGAGAACUGACCCUGCCCUAAAGGAAGAGGACAAGCAGAAAUAGCUCAGCGUAAUCAGUGCAAGCAACGCAAUGAGAGGGUUUCAAAAGAACAAUUUAAAAAAUGUACCGUGACUUUUGCAGAGAGCGGGAGGGAUUUAUAACAACA
rnacentral:lncRNA from 1 species